GUCGUAGCCCAGCGGUAGAGAAUUUGCUUGCACACAGGAGGUCCCAGGUUCAAAUCCUGGCAUCUCCA